rnacentral:rRNA from 1 species
CUCCUAGGGAGGCAGCAGUGGGGAAUAUUGGACAAUGGACCAAGAGUCUGAUCCAGCAAUUCUGUGUGCACGAUGAAGUUUUUCGGAAUGUAAAGUGCUUUCAGUUGGGAAGAAAAAAAUGACGGUACCAACAGAAGAAGUGACGGCUAAAUACGUGCCAGCAGCCGCGGUAAUACGUAUGUCACAAGCGUUAUCCGGAUUUAUUGGGCGUAAAGCGCGUCUAGGUGGUUAUAUAAGUCUGAUGUGAAAAUGCAGGGCUCAACUCUGUAUUGCGUUGGAAACUGUGUAACUAGAGUACUGGAGAGGUAAGCGGAACUACAAGUGUAGAGGUGAAAUUCGUAGAUAUUUGUAGGAAUGCCGAUGGGGAAGCCAGCUUACUGGACAGAUACUGACGCUGAAGCGCGAAAGCGUGGGUAGCAAACAGGAUUAGAUACCCUGGUAGUCCACGCCGUAAACGAUGAUUACUAGGUGUUGGGGGUCGAACCUCAGCGCCCAAGCAAACGCGAUAAGUAAUCCGCCUGGGGAGUACGUACGCAAGUAUGAAACUCAAAGGAAUUGACGGGGGCCCGCACAAG